GUCCAGACGGUAGGAUAGAAACGGCAUUCUUUUGUGUCGCGGCGGCUGGCAUAAAAGAUAUAGUGGAUAGCGGGACGAUUC
rnacentral:sRNA from 1 species